GGUCACCAGUUCAUUGUUAAAGGUAAACCUAUGUCAUUUUCUGGGACUAUUGUGUUGGUUUCUGGAGACAAUCUUGGAUCACAACUCAUGGGUGGAUUCAAAGAAGGUCCAGGUGCACAUUUGAAAUGCCGGCAAUGCAUGGCGACCACUGAACAAAUAAAGCAGAAGGUAUUUUUUAGAAAAACAUUUUACACUUCGAACUCAUGCUGGUCAUGACCACCAAUGUGAACUGAUUGAAGAAAACCCAGAACUGAGUAAAGCAUAUGGUCUUUGCAGGAGAUCAAUUCUUUGCAACUCUAGGUAUUUUCAUGUAGCAGAUGGCAUGCCAGGUGAUGCAAUGCAUGAUAUACUAGAAGGAGUACUUCAGUAUAUAUGUAAAGAAUUGCUGAAGGACUUAAAGAAAAAUUUUUAACAGUGGAGCAACUUAAUGAAAGAAUUAACUCUUUUGAUUAUGGAUAUUUUAAUGAUAAAAGCAAGCCAUCACCAAUCACCCGGACAACUUUGAGGAGUGAAAACAAUAGUUUAAAGCAAAAAGCAAGACAAAUGUGGUGCCUUGUAAAAUUGCUUCAUUUAGCUCUCGGCAGUGCCAUUCC